ACAGGUGGAUAAUAGAAAUGUUCUGGACAGUCAGAGAGUUGCUGGAAAUGACCUAUGAGAAGAUGAGUGAGCAGUUCUGCUCCUUCAUGACAGAUUCCUCUGCAGGACCAAGAGGCAGAUUUAAACUCCCUGCUGAAGGGUGCUGGCCAGGAAAGCUAUUUGAGAGUAUCUACUGCCCAGUAUUCAGCACAUCAGCAAGCCCAGUUUUUCCUAUUCAUUCUGGAAGAGGGGGAAUGACUGCUCCACACUGCCCUGGGUUUGCAGAAAAUCACUGCUGGAAUGCAUUUGAGGAGGGCCUGGCUUCUAGUUGUCUGUGUAACAGCUGAGAUCAAAGAACUUUUACAUGUGCUCCCUUUUAAGCAUCACUGAAUCCAGAGCUGGGCAGGGAGAGGCAAGGAGAAGAAAAGACAACUCUGGAAGACUGAGGCCGUUGAUCCAGUGCUGGAAAAGUGUUCCCAGAUGUCUUCCCAAGGAGCAAAAUCUGAUGAUAUGGCUCUUUCCUGCUCCUGGAAAAGCUCCCUGAGUGUCCAGCCACAUUCAGUCCUUAAUUCAUCACCUGGCCAUGGAUCACCAAGAGCCUGCAAAAUUGAAUGACUGAGCAUCCCCUAAAUCUGCCACUCCUCACACAGCUCUGGUCUCUUCUGAACUCAACCAGAACCAACAGCUCUGAGGCAGGCAUGUGCAGAUGGAUCCCUGGAGCAUCUGUAGGACACAUUUAUGAGUAAUUACCUAUCAUCUAGAAGGCUACAGAGCAGCAGCUUAAGUGUGACCUGCCUUCUGCAUUGAUAUCCAAGUCAAGACUAAGAAACAUCUCUAGCAGAUGGGAAAGCUCUCCAGCCUCUCAAAGCUUCUCCAAGAUGGAUUAUUUACUAUCUAGCACCUCUCAGAGCAAUGAGAACUUAUCUAACGCAGCUUCUCCUAGACCUGCUUAUUCUGCCUUCUUUAUUCCAUAAGGAUCCCAAUCAAGGUUCAUCAAAACACUGAAUGAGACACUGGGCAGCAAAAGGGAUUUUUUUUUUGACCUAUUUUGUGAUCUAUUUUUUAUUUGUGUGCUGCUAGGAAGUUGCAUGCCUGGUUUUGACACGUUGUGUGUGCCACAUGCAGAAAUGUUUCCUGAGCAGUUUGUGCCAGAACCUUUCAGUCCCUGGGUGUUCGCUCUGAUUAUUUGCUGCUCUCAGAGCAGGACUGUCCCACACAAGGCAGACAAGUGCCACAGUCUCUCUCUGGCCUGCAGGAUAAUGUUGGGAUCCUCUCCAUGAGCCUCACCAGGAGCUUCACACACAUCUCAACAAAUUUACUCUUCUGUCUCUAAUAUCCUUUUUUAUUCCACUCUGGCAGAGAGUGAAAAUACAAGCCUAGCUUCGUUCAGCUUUGCUGGUUUUGCAGAUUAAAUCUGGAUGCUGAUCUGAAAUGUCCUUUAGUGUGGAAAACACAGCUGCUGUGAGCAGAGGAACUCAUGUAAGCAGCGGAGAGAGUUUGUGGUGUUUCAAGGGGCUCCUCUAGACAGAAAAGCUGUUUGUGGCUCCUGGGGCUGGACAUGCACGUUGCUCACUGCCCCUGCCCUCACUCUAGCUGGCUUCACUCCACACCUACACUUUGUUGUCAGCUUCUCCCAGCUGCAAAGAAGGCAUCCAGAUGGAAAUCACUUGUUUGGCUCUCUGUGAACAAAACCAAAUCCUUCUGGGGAGUUUCCAUCCAGCCAUCUAAAAGCUUGGCACAAAUUUGGAAGUACAGAGGAAUUUCUUGAAUUGCAACUUUCUAACAACCUUUUCCAAAACUCAGAGGUUGAGUUCGGCCUGAGCUUUAGAAAAUAUCCAGGCAAAAACUUGUUAGGUGCAAACUGUUUCCUUUUCCUUUAAACCAACAUGAAAAAAAGAAGGAAAAGCUGAGUUUCAGUUCUACAAACAGUUCAG